rnacentral:lncRNA from 1 species
GGGGCUGACCACCCAGGGACGGGCAGAGGAGUCUGGAACAGGACGGUUUGUGCGCUGCCUGCGAGCACCGUGCUUCCACGACUAGAUGCCUCUGUGGUGAAAGCCAAAAGGAGUAUUUUACUGCACACAAAUUCUCAGAAAUGAUCAUCUGAAAACUACAGGUUCUCGGCUAAGGCACCCAGGCUCAGACUGCCGACACAUCGUUAAGCAGCUGGGUACCAGCAGCAAUGACCUCAUCCCUCUGACUCCGUGACCUCGGCUGCAGAGGGUCACGGCGAAUUAUAUACACAGUGCCACGCACAUGGGAAGCUCUCAGUGAGAGAGGGUGGGCUGAGAGCCGCUUGGCCUGGGCCCUGCACCUCGUCCCACUCUGCAUGAACUGCCUUUGCGGGUGGCCAGGCCUGGCUAUGACCGCACGGGAGAGCAGGGCGGACCCCGCGAACGGGGACAGCACCUGACGGCGACAUCCACAAACGCCGCCCCGCAGGAGCACGCACUCCCACACAAAGCGCCUGCAGCUGACAGCCGCCGGGAGGGGACAUCUGGACAGCCUCACGCAGCUUUCAGACCUGCAGUCCAUGUUAAAAGGAUCUUGUUUCCAAUUUGCCUUAAUUAAACAAACAUUCCAAACC